rnacentral:rRNA from 1 species
UGGGGAAUAUUGCACAAUGGGCGAAAGCCUGAUGCAGCAACGCCGCGUGAGUGAUGAAGGCCUUCGGGUUGUAAAGCUCUGUCUUUUGGGACGAUAAUGACGGUACCAAAGGAGGAAGCCACGGCUAACUACGUGCCAGCAGCCGCGGUAAUACGUAGGUGGCAAGCGUUGUCCGGAUUUACUGGGCGUAAAGGAUGCGUAGGCGGAUUUUUAAGUGAGAUGUGAAAUACCCGGGCUUAACUUGGGUGCUGCAUUUCAAACUGGGAAUCUAGAGUGCGGGAGAGGAGAAUGGAAUUCCUAGUGUAGCGGUGAAAUGCGUAGAGAUUAGGAAGAACACCAGUGGCGAAGGCGAUUCUCUGGACCGUAACUGACGCUGAGGCAUGAAAGCGUGGGUAGCAAACAGGAUUAGAUACCCUGGUAGUCCACGCCGUAAACGAUGAGUACUAGGUGUAGGAGGUAUCGACCCCUUCUGUGCCGCAGUUAACACAAUAAGUACUCCGCCUGGGAAGUACGAUCGCAAGAUUAAAAGCUCAAAUGAAUUGACGGGGUCAUAGCUGUUUUCCU